ensembl:lncRNA
CACCACCACCACCACCAUUACCACUACUACUACAAUAUUUUCAAAUUUGUGAAAUCAAAAAUGGUACAAAAAUUCCAUUAUAUACCCCAAUUUUCCUAGAUGUCAGCAUUUUAUAAUAGGAUGAUCAUAACCACAUCGGUGUUACCUCUACUGCAGUAUUGGAUGUUAAUUUAUUAGAUGUUAGAUUUAUACGUUUAAUCAGUGCCGAUAUUCCCCCCUCUGGUGGAGGAUCCCACCUAGAAUCUCAAGGCUCAUACAGUAGUAGUGUAGUUUCUCUUAAUGGUGACAAUUGGUUUCAAUGGCUUCUAUUCAGUAGACUUUCAAUGUGGGUUUGUCUAUCCUCAUCAUGAAGUUUAGAUUAUUCCUUUUAAGCAGGAAUUGAAGUUAUGCCCCAGCAGAUAUAUCACCCCAGUAGAUCUUCUGAGAGUGAUUUUAGAUUCUGUGACUCAAGUGUUGUCUGCCAGAUUUUUUGAAAUUAUGGGGUUUUCCUAUUUGGAUUUGCUGAGGGCACACAAUCUUCCUUAUAUGCACAACAAGCCAAGCACUCUGGAUCUGAGGGUUAUAGUUAUUACUUGAAGAUUACUUGAGGCACUUAUUAAACGAUGAACUGUUUCCAUAUUUGUAAAUUUUAGUCUGAAUAUUCAGUUGUACAUUGUUAAUGUUUUGCAGUGGUGCUGGGAAUUGAACCUAGGGUCCCCUGCAUGUGGGGCUACGAUUCCCAGCACUGAAAUGCACAAUAACAUUUAAAGGAAGAUGCUUGGCUAAUAUUUCCCUGCUUCACACGAGAAAGAAGAGUGCAUUUGGGAGCUGUGUAUCUGGAAUGAGUGUCUAAAAUGUAAUUUGAAAAGGUGUGACUGGUGGCUCUGAGCAAAUAAUUCAGUUAGUCCCGAUAAGACCCUAGAUUCUAAAGGGUUCCAAUUUACUCGAAUUUAUGUGUUCCUUGUCUUUAAAAUUACUUCCUUGUUCCUACCAAAUGGGUAAAUGCAAUAUAUAACACAUAUAUACAUAAUAUAUAUUAUAGAUAUACACAAUAGAACAGAUAAGAAUAAUUUCAAAUUUUCAAUAUAUCGCUUGUUUUGAUUGACAUUUAACAAUAUACCUGAGUCAUGCAAAGAUGUUCACUUGGAGUCUUAAUGUUUGCAGAAAGGAUUUACUGGGACUUGGAAUGAGUAAGCCUCUGAAUACACUGCAAGAAAAGUAGGAUUCUUGUGGGUAAGGAAGAUCUUUCAAUACGAGCAUCUUGGUACCUCUCAUUUGAAGGAGAAUAUCAUUCGGGUGCUCGCCAACAGCAUGAAGCAGCAGCGACGUCAAGGUUCCCCCAAGGUGAGUUUUCUGGACUUGCCCUUCUCUUCAUUCUGAUCUCUAACAAACUAAUUCUUGCUAAAGAAGGUAUCUGCAGGAAUUAUGGGAGAAUACGAGAAUUAAAAACCUUUAACUACAGAAUCUAAAGUCUUAAAACGGAUUCUCACAACUGAUGUUAGCCACUUAUACCUAGCUGGCGGGCGCUUCCUGGUUUGUCUCCAUAGGGGACGAAGCGUGGGUGUGUCAGACAGGCAGUGCAUUGCUAGCUGGCUGUUAGAACUUCGUCC